AACGAACGCUGGCGGCAUGCCUAACACAUGCAAGUCGAACGAGACCUUCGGGUCUAGUGGCGCACGGGUGCGUAACGCGUGGGAACCUGCCCUUAGGUUCGGAAUAACUCCCCGAAAGGGGUGCUAAUACCGGAUAAUGUCUUCGGACCAAAGAUUUAUCGCCUUUGGAUGGGCCCGCGUUGGAUUAGCUAGUUGGUAGGGUAAAAGCCUACCAAGGCGACGAUCCAUAGCUGGUCUGAGAGGAUGAUCAGCCACACUGGGACUGAGACACGGCCCAGACUCCUACGGGAGGCAGCAGUGGGGAAUAUUGGACCAUGGGCGAAAGCCUGAUCCAGCAAAGCCGCGUGAGUGAUGAAGGCCUUAGGGUUGUAAAGCUCUUUUACCCGGGAUGAUAAUGACAGUACCGGGAGAAUAAGCUCCGGCUAACUCCGUG
rnacentral:rRNA from 1 species